rnacentral:rRNA from 1 species
GACGUAGGGCGCGAGCGUUGUCCGGAUUUAUUGGGCGUAAAGAGCUCGUAGGCGGCUUGUCGCGUCGACUGUGAAAACCCGCGGCUCAACCGUGUGGUCUGCAGUCGAUACGGGCAGGCUAGAGUCCAGUAGGGGAGCGUGGAAUUCCUGGUGUAGCGGUGAAAUGCGCAGAUAUCAGGAAGAACACCCGUGGCUAAGGCGGUUCUCUAGUACGGUACUGACGCUGAGACGCGAAAGCGUGGGGAGCGAACAGG